AAUUAUUAAAAAUAUAGGUCUGGAUUUUCCCUAGUGACAAAAUAAAAAUCAUUAAACUAUGGCACAAUUCUCUCUUAAUUUUCCACUUUUACGAUAGUUCUAUUCUUCUUCCAAAAGAAUAUGCGAUUGUGCUCUCAUCAUCUUCAUGUGUAUAUAUAAAGGGAAUUUAAUGAAAAAAACCCUCAACUUUGGCCAGAUCCAUUUCUAAAUCCUGAACUAUGUUUUUAGUAAAACAAACCCUGAAGUAAAACCUGUUAAUAAACUUAACCCCACAGUAAUUAAAUAUUAAUGGGAUAUUAAUUUCCAAAAAUCGACCAAAGAACAAUGACAGAAUCCGUGAUCCAACUGAAGAUCGUCCACCUCAAAAAGUUCCUUAUACACGUGAAAAAGUUCAAAUGGUAAAAUAGAGAACAAUGAAUUAUAUUUCACAAGAUCUUCCUUUUCAAAUUAUUUAAUUUAAUCUUUGCAUAUUUAGACUUGCAGCAACUGUCAACAAGUCGGACACAACAAACGUUCAUGCAAGCGUAAAGCAGUGCCAAAACCACCCAAGAAACCUCAAGGACGACCAAGGAAAAAACAGAAAACAAUGGAUGAAGAGAACCUUAUCACUCAGCCAAUACAAUCUUCUCUUCAAAGUUAAUGUUUGACAAGUCUUUACUUUAGAAUAUCUUGUCCCUCUGAAACAAUUGUUUUUUUUUGUGACAAAUAUUGUUGUGUUGCAACAGCUUCGAUAGUUAUGUUGGUUGGAUUUAUUUAAGCAUGACUCUUUGGAUUAUUUUAAGUUGUUGUGUCUUUCUUUCAGCUUCUAAAAUCCAAACUAAUUAAGCAAUUCAAAAUCAUUUAGAACGUUUUUUUGUAAUAAAUUCAAAACAGUUUUAAAGAACAUAAUGUGGUUUUUGCGCUAAAUACAAAUGUCUCGUUGUUGUUUUUUUUGGAAAUUAAUAUCCCAUUAAUAUUUAAUUUUUGUGGGGUUAAGUUUAUUAACAGGUUUUAGUUCAGGGUUUGUUUUACUAAAAACAUAGUUUAGGGUUUAAAAAUGGAUCUGGCCAAAGUUGAGGGUUUUUUUCAUUAAAUUCUCAUAUAUAAACUCUAACAAUCAAAUCUUCUAUUCUUUUUUUUCGGAUCUAAAUCAUCUCUUUAUAUUUACUUUCUAAACAUACUAACUAA
rnacentral:sRNA from 1 species